rnacentral:rRNA from 1 species
AGCAGCCGCGGUAAUUCCAGCUCCAAUAGCGUAUAUUAAAGUUGCUGCAGUUAAAAAGCUCGUAGUUGAAUUUCGGGACCAUCAUGUUGGUCGUGCCUCGGUACGUACUGGCAUUGUUGGUUUCUCCCUUCUGACGAACCAUGAUGUCAUUUAUUUGGUGUCGUGGGAAAUCAGGACUGUUACUUUGAAAAAUUAGAGUGUUUAAAGCAGGCUCACGCUUGAAUACAUUAGCAUGGAAUAAUGAAAUAGGACGUUUGAUUCUAUUUUGUUGGUUUCUAGGAUCGACGUAAUGAUUAAUAGGGAUAGUUGGGGGCAUUAGUAUUCAAUUGUCAGAGGUGAAAUUCUUGGAUUUAUUGAAGACUAACUACUGCGAAAGCAUUUGCCAAGGAUGUUUUCAUUAAUCAAGAACGAAAGUUAGGGGAUCGAAGACGAUCAGAUACCGUCGUAGUCUUAACCAUAAACUAUGCCGACUAGGGAUCGGAUGAUGUUUUAAUUUUUAAUGUACUCAUUC